GUGCCAGCAGCCGCGGUAAGACAGAGGGUGCAAACGUUGUUCGGAAUUACUGGGCGUAAAGCGCGUGUAGGCGGCAAGGCAAGUCGGAUGUGAAAGCCCACGGCUCAACCGUGGAAGUGCACCCGAAACUGCCUAGCUAGAGUCUCGGAGAGGAAGGUGGAAUGCUUGGUGUAGAGGUGAAAUUCGUAGAUAUCAAGCGGAACACCGGUGGCGAAGGCGGCCUUCUGGACGAUGACUGACGCUGAGACGCGAAAGCGUGGGGAGCAAACAGGAUUAGAAACCCGCGUAGUCC
rnacentral:rRNA from 1 species